AGAGUUUGAUCCUGGCUCAGGACGAACGCAGGCGGUGUGCUUAAUACAUGCAAGUCGCACGAGGCCUUCGGGUCUAGUGGCGGACGGGUGAGUAAUGCAUAGGUAACGUACCCGAAUGUGGGGGAUAACUGUUGGAAACGACAGCUAAUACCGCAUAAGUUCCCGGUUGAAAUACCGGCAAUUAAAGCAGCAAUGUGCUUUCGGAUCGGCCUAUGUCGGAUUAGCUUGUUGGUGAGGUAAUGGCUCACCAAGGCUAUGAUCCGUAGUUGGUCUAAGAGGAUGACCAGCCACAGUGGAACUGAGACACGGUCCACACUCCUACGGGAGGCAGCAGUAGGGAAUAUUGCGCAAUGGGCGAAAGCCUGACGCAGCAACACCGCGUGAAGGAUGAAGUAUUUCGGUAUGUAAACUUCUUUUGGCAGGGACGAAUUAUGACGGUACCUGCAGAAUAAGCAUCGGCUAACUACGUGCCAGCAGCCGCGGUAAUACGUAGGAUGCAAGCGUUGUCCGGAUUUAUUGGGCGUAAAGAGUUCGUAGGCGGUUUAUUAAGUCUGGUGUCAAAUCCCGAAGCUCAACUUCGGUUCGGCAUUGGAAACUAGUAAGCUGGAGUACAGUAGAGGUCACGGGAAUUCUCGGUGUAGCAGUGAAAUGCGUAGAUAUCGAGAGGAACACCAGCGGCGAAAGCGCGUGACUGGGCUGUUACUGACGCUGAGGAACGAAAGCCAGGGUAGCGAAAGGGAUUAGAUACCCCUGUAGUCCUGGCCGUAAACGAUGGACACUAGGUGUUGGAGGAUCGACCCCUUCAGCGCCGUAGCUAACGCGUCAAGUGUCCCGCCUGGGAAGUACGGUCGCAAGACUGAAACUCAAAGGAAUUGACGGGGGCCCGCACAAGCGGUGGAACAUGUGGUUUAAUUCGAUGCAACGCGAAAAACCUUACCUGGGCUUGACAUCCUCGGAACCUCUAUGAAAGUAGGGGGUGCUCGCAAGAGAGCCGAGAGACAGGUGGUGCACGGUUGUCGUCAGCUCGUGUCGUGAGAUGUUGGGUUAAGUCCCGCAACGAGCGCAACCCUCGUGGUUUGUUGUUACAGGUCGCAAGAUGCUGAACCCUCAAGCCAUACUGCCGGUUCUAAGCCGGAGGAAGGUGGGGAUGACGUCAAAUCAUCACGCCCCUUAUGUCCAGGGCUACACACGUGUUACAAUGGGUACGCGACAAUGGGUCGCUUAGUGGCAACACUGGGCUAAUCUCUAAACGCGCCCUCAGUUCGGAUAAGAGUCUGCAACUCGACUCUUUGAAGUCGGAAUCGCUAGUAAACGCAGAUCAGCACGCUGCGUUGAAUACGUUCCCGGGCCUUGUACACACCGCCCGUCACACCACGAAAAAUGGUCACACCCGAAUCCGGUGCGCUAACCCUGC
rnacentral:rRNA from 1 species